rnacentral:rRNA from 1 species
AGAGUUUGAUCCUGGCUCAGGACUAACGCUGGCGGCAUGCCUUACACAUGCAAGUCGAACGGCAGCACGGACUUCGGUCUGGUGGCGAGUGGCGAACGGGUGAGUAAUACAUCGGAACGUGUCCUGGAGUGGGGGAUAGCCCGGCGAAAGCCGGAUUAAUACCGCAUACGCUCUGUGGAGGAAAGCGGGGGAUCGAAAGA